AAUAAAGGAGCUACAUAUAGGGUUUUGUGAGCAAACACAAAUAAGUUAGAUCUAUACAC
rnacentral:tRNA from 1 species